UUGUCUUGUAAUGAAUGCGGGAUUUGCCGAGCUGCUUCGUGCCAGUGAAUGCACAGUGGAUGCAGGCCAGGGACUCGAGAAGUCCUGAGGCUUGUCCCCAGCCAGCUCUGCCACUGACUCACCGUGCAACCUUGAACAUGACAUCCUUUCCUUUAUUUCAGCAUCCUCAUCAGAGGACAGAGGGAAGGGGAGAGGGAUGAGGCCAUUUCUGUGCCUCCUGGUGACGUUAUACAUUACAGGUCACUCCGAGGUGGAAGCCAGCAGAACAAAUGCAGCAGCUGUCUCCCUGCAGGGACCGAUGAAUCAGGGUAGUGUUGCCUUGUUCUUAACGGUAUUCCUCUCAUGAAUGCUGCUCUACUUCUACUUCUCCUAUUCCUAUUCCUAUUCCUAUUCCUAUUCCUAUUCCUAUUCCUAUUCCUAUUCCUAUUCCUAUUCCUAUUCCUAUUCCUAUUCCUAUUCCUAUUCCUAUUCCUAUCCCUAUUCCUCGAGCCCCAGAGUGUGCAGAAAACCCUCCACAAUUGUCCUCUUCUUCUCCACAUCCACCUGUAGAGCAUCAAAUACCAUUUUACCUGCCCCUUAGUUAAAGAGCUCUUCCUAAAUAGGCUCUACACUACAAAUCAUAGUAGGAAUUGAGCACAGAAAGGGAGACGUGAUGUGAACUUUUACCAUAGAUAGAUUUUCUUCAAAUUAAUAAUGAUAUACACAAAAAAUAACAGUCAACACAGAGGCAGGAUGGUCUGAGGCUCAUGGCAGUCAGAGGACCCCUCUAUUUCCAUUGUUGCUCUGCCAUAGAUCCCCUCUGGGACCUUGAAAAAGUCACCCUGGCUCUCUCUGCUUUGGCCUUCCUUUAGCCUUUUGCUCCCUUCUCUACAGCCUGGUGGUGGGAGAGCUUUGGGGUGCCAUUUAUUUGCUCACUGCUGCCUCUCCUUAUCAGCUGCCUUCAUUGCUCUCAGCCCCCAGUGAUUGUGAAUUUGGCCCUGAAGGGUAAGCUGCUGUUUUCUCAAUGUGCCCCUUCAGAGCUGCCCUGUGCCAGCCGCAGCCUGCAGGUGCCUCCCCCUGUGCUCUGCCCUGGGUGCAGCACCGAGGGAAGGCUGCUGAAUGUGGCAUUUAGAAACUUCGCUUCAUUCCGCAAGGUCACCGCAAAGAGGCCAAAAAUCCCAGCCGGCUCACGCCAGCCUUCACUUAUGACUCACCAGAGAGAAUAUUAACUGGUGAGGAGAGGCAAAGAGCGCCGUGUUCCACUGCCAGUCCCCUGAGGCCCCUGACACCGCGGAGGGAGCGCUGUUAGCCGAGCUCUUCAACCGCUUUUCGCUGACAGAAAUGCCCUGGCAGCUGCCUGACCUCCGUGUAGCACCGCUCGCAGGUCCCCUCAGCCGCCGUGUCACCGACAGAAGUCACGCACAGCCCUCUGUGUCCUGACGCAUUUCAGAAGCGAGCUGAAGGCAAAAUCCUGCAGGAGGAAGGCGCCGCAGGAGCAGCAGUCACACCGGGGACAAGUCAAGGCAUUUUGGUAAUAAAAAGCCAAUAUUUUCAAAUCGGGAUGCCCAAAGCUUUGCAGUGGGGACAAUCAGCAGGUUCUGCAUAGUGGUAGAGGCUGUAUGAAAAUGCUUCUGAGCAUCAGGUGGAAGAACUGCCCAGUUCAGGAAGCCAGAACAGAAAAAGAAUCAGAAAAAGGAAGACAAGAAAUGAAAUUAAACCAUUCACAUGCUGAAAUAAGGCUGCAUACCCACUGCCGCUUUGGAAAUGUUACCAAUCUCUUUGGCCACUGGAGAACCAGGAGAGCCUGCAAAGGUGACUGUGGGUGCUGGCAGAGAAUUAUUCUGUCGAAGUUGCAGUCCAUGGGAGGUUUUGGAAAUUUAUUGUCCCCAGGGAAAAAUGAGAAGAGUUUCAUAAAAUCCUGUCAAAGUUUUGCAAAUUCUGAAACUCAGAAGAGAAGGAGUUACAUGGGAAGCUGUCUACAUCUCCUCCCUGUAGUGAGAGCCCAGCUUUGCCUCCUCGCAUCCAGAAGACCAAAAACUAUCAGCGGCCUUCUUACUGUGCUUCGCGCGAGGACAUUCUGCAAAUUAUGGACAUUUUGUCCAGCCAGCCUUCCCACAACAGAUGGCAAAGCAGCGAGAAUGGCCAGAACUGGUGGGUGGCGGGGAUGUUUACUUUAAUAAGGCCCAGAGAUUAAAGUUCUACCGGUGCCCAUCAGCAGUCUGUUACAUUCAUUCAUUUAUAAUUAUUUCUCAUUUUUCCCUGCAGUUACGUUUUAGAAUUGUCAUUACUUGGAUCCCUACAACUAUGCAAUGUAACUGGCACGACUCUGCUCCUGAGCGGGGCAUCCGGGGUCCCUCCCGGGAUCCUCUUUGCAAUAUCCAAGCCCUGGCACCAAUCUAUGGGACACGGAGCCCAUCCCAGCCCUCAGAGGUAGGACUGUGGUCUUGCAGAACCUCUUCUGCUGUCCAAAAGAGCAGGAAGGAAAGUGAAAAGGCAAGGGAAUUUAUGGGUACAGGAGGGAGAACAGCCAAAAGAGAACAAGAGUGAAGGAGAGAAGUGAGGGGAUUAAAAAUGGUACAGCAGAAGUGGAUAGCUAGAGCACAGCACCAGCCCCCAUAAUCCCUGCUGAAGGAUUUGAGCAAGAUGGAUAGAAAAGUUGCAGAGGGAGAAGUAUCUAAUGUCUAGCAUGAAACUCUGGGGAAAAACUUAGGAUGGGAAAAGGAGAAAGUUAAAGUGGGAAUAGAAGACAGAAAGCCACUGAAGUUGUGCACUUAAAAACCCAGCAAGCCCAGGUGUAUGAACAGCAGAGAUAGGGGCAGGGAGAGGCAGCUAAUGGAGGUGGUUGUUCAAAAACCAUAAGAAACCAGCUGCUCCCAGCCCCCAUGUGAGCCCUGCUGCCUGCAGAGUCCCAGCUUGGAGCAUCAUCCAUUUCCUGGGCGCUCCGGCACCAGGGAGCCACACUCUCCCAGGUGCUGUUUGCUUUUGACGGAUGCUGCUGUGACACAUGCAGCAUUAAACCCAGCAAAGCGAGCCUUAUUGGAUUCUGAAAACCAGGGUCCAUCACCACUCAGACUACUUAUAAAACUGUCUGGCUUGAGAACAGCAGCAGCCUUCCCUCGGGCAUGCAGGAGGCAUUGCUUACACCAGCACGAGCCCUCCCACGUUCACUGUCUGCAUCUACUCCAGGCCCUGCAAGAGAGCAAACCGAGCAGCUGACACAUCCUUUUCCUACAAUUUUUGGUAUUUCCUCUCAAUGAGUCUUGUUUUUAGUGGUGAUGGGCUUCAGGAAGCCGUACACCACCACCAGUCAUCCAGCUGGGAGGAAACCCCUGUGGGUGGGACACAACGGAGACUCAUGAAGCUUUUGAUUUAGGGGAUUCGCAUCAUCACAAGAAGGGUCUGUGUGUUGCCAGGCCACAGGAGAGGGAUGUGUUUUGUUUCACUCUGUGCUCUACCAAAUGGGCUCCUCAUCCAGAUCCUGUUUCCUGGGAGAGGCAAGAGGGUGAGGAAUGAGAGCUCUCCUUCACCGUGACUGCAAGACGGAGCCAAGGGCUGGCAGACGGGCUGAGGGUCACUGUCUCCUGCCGUGGCUGUGAUCUAUGACCACUCUUCGCUGCGGUUUGAGGCGUGAAUGGUGCCAGGCCAGCUGUGACCUUCUCUGCCCCUGAGCCUGGAUCCCCGAACGCUCCCUGUCUCCAAGAAGCUUUUGCAGAGAGUCUCACUCUGUGCUCCUGUAAUGAGCUGCACAGCACGAUAUGGAAUUAGCAGAAUCUAAGUUAUUAAUUGUCUACAACAAUUAGCCAGGACGCUUGGGCCUUCAGGCACCUUGGUUACGUGUGGGAGCCAAUUACAGUCUCAUACAUAUUCAUGCCAAUUCAUCCACGAGCUGAGAGCUGCUUCCCUGGCUCUCUCCACAUCUCCUUUACUCCAGCUCACAUCCAGCCCACCUGGAGCCAGGAAGGAACAGUAGUUUCCUUUCCUUGCACGUUUCACCGAAAUCAAAUAUUUGCUGUGGCUAUAAUUGAUGUGAUGCAAAUGCAGAGGUAGCAUAUUUGGCAAACAAGAACAGAAAUGGCCCCGGCCAAACCUUGCUCGUGCCUUGCAAGAGGAGAUGGGGAGAUGUUGCUGGAACCCUCACUUGCUCUGCCAGCAUACCACAACAUCUCAUCCAGCCCAGCUCGAGGAGAAACACCUCUCACAGUCAGCUACAGCCAUAACCCCAUCUGAGACCACAGCCUCCCAAAUCCCAGCCCUCACGGUGCAGGUCAGUGUGUUGCCAGUGAAUUUGGUGGUGUUAGACCAAUUUAUGCCCAGUGAGGACCUCGACAACAAGUGCUGAGUGAGACACUGGGCUGCUUAUCAGAUGGUCUCUCUCUGUAAGUUUUUUUUAUAAUUUAUCUGGUAUUUUAUAUUUCACGGAGGGAAAGGUCUAGAAACAGCCUUCAUCACCAACCCCAUUCUCAAGGCCUGUGAGCACCGUGCUCUCCCCAACGUGGGCUCAGCUCAGCCUGUUCUGUGCACAGCAGCAGGUCCCCAGCCCAGCCACCUGCCUCGGGGAAGGAGUGUUGCAUGGAAAGCACGGCUGCUUCUCUCCUUCGGGUACAGGCAGCUCGAGAAAAUAGCUUGAGAGGUUCCAGAGGGAGAAUUUCCAACGUUUCUAAGGAAUUCACUCUAAAUUUUUUCAAGGAAAAAAAAAACACAAGACACUUCCCUGCCACACCAGACGUUGCCAUGUGAGGGCUCACCUUGCUUCGGACUCUUGUGCAGCACCAGGUAAGGCACCUAAUGCCUGCUCCUUGGUGAAAACAUGGGUGUGCUAACA